CGCGGGGUGGAGCAGCCUGGUAGCUCGUUGGGCUCAUAACCCAAAGGUCAGAGGUUC
rnacentral:tRNA from 1 species